CCUACGGGAGGCAGCAGUUAGGAAUCUUGCGCAAUGGACGAAAGUCUGACGCAGCAACGCCGCGUGAGGGAUGACGGCUUUCGGGUUGUAAACCUCUUUCAGCAGGAACGCGGUACCUGCAGAAGAAGCACCGGCCAACUACGUGCCAGCAGCCGCGGUAAUACGUAGGGUGCAAGCGUUGUCCGGAUUUAUUGGGCGUAAAGAGCUCGUAGGCGGUUAAGAAAGUCGGGUGUGAAACCUCCAGGCUCAACCUGGAGACGCCACUCGAUACUUUUUGACUAGAGUUCGGUAGGGGUAAGCGGAAUUCCUGGUGUAGCGGUGAAAUGCGCAGAUAUCAGGAGGAACACCGACGGCGAAGGCAGCUUACUGGGCCGAACUGACGCUGAGGAGCGAAAGCGUGGGGAGCGAACAGGAUUAGAUACCCUUGUAGUC
rnacentral:rRNA from 1 species